rnacentral:misc_RNA from 1 species
GAUGAAGAACGUAGCGAAAUGCGAUACGUAAUGUGAAUUGCAGUAUUCAGUGAAUCAUCGAAUCUUUGAACGCAUAUUGCGCUCUCUGGUAUUCCGGAGAGCAUGCUUGUUUGAGUAUCAGUAAACACCUCAACUUCCAUAUCUUUUUUGAAAUGGGAGUUGGACUUGAGUGAUCCCAACGCUUUUCCUCACCGAAAAGUGGCGGGUUACUUGAAAUGCAGGUGCAGCUGGACUUUUCUCUGAGCUAUAAGCAUAUCUAUUUAGUCUGCCUAAAAAACAGAUUAUUACCUUUGCUGCAGCUAACAUAAAGGAGAUUAGUUCUUGUGCUGACUGAUGCAGGAUUCACAAAGACAGGCUUCGGCCGACUUUGUAAACUCGAUCUCAAAUCAAGUAAGACUACCCGCUGAACUUAAGCAUAUCAAUAAGCGGAGGA